GUGUGGUUACCUGUCCUUACCUGGCUGCCCCCCCUCAGCAGCUGUGAGGCCCCAGGUGUUCCCCCCCGGGCCAGGUGUGUCUCCAGGUGUGUGCAGGUGGGAUCCGAUCCCACCGGGAAUUUACCGAUGGAAAAUUUGGGAAUAAAGGAAUAACGGGGGGGGAGGGGCAGGGGGGGCGUCCCUGUUUUGGGGAGAAAAACAACGAUUUGGCUCCUUCUGCUGAACACGGGGAGGGGUCGAAGCGCCCCCGGGCAGGUGCCCAGGUGAGGGUGUGCCCAGGUGAGGUGUGCCCAGGUCAAGGUGUGCCCACGUGAGGGUGUGCCCAUAUGCGGGGGUGUGCCCAGGUGAGGCUGUGCCCAGGUGAGGGUGUGCCCAGGUGAGGGUGUGCCCAGGUGGGGGCUGUGCCCAGGUGAGGCUGUGCCCAGGUGAACAGGCCGGGAUGCUCCAGGUAAGCCCUGCCUGGGGAUUUGGGGGGAAAAUGGGGGAAAAAGGCAAUAAAUCCGAUUGAUUUCA